CGAACCAUACAAGAUCUCAGAUGAGGUAAGAUUACCCGCUGAAUUUAAGCAUAUCAAUAAGCGGAGGA
rnacentral:rRNA from 1 species